GAUGAAGAACGCAGCGAAAUGCGAUAAGUAAUGUGAAUUGCAGAAUUCAGUGAAUCAUCGAGUCUUUGAACGCACAUUGCGCCCCCUGGUAUUCCGGGGGGCAUGCCUGUCCGAGCGUCAUUGCCGCCCUCAAGCACGGCUUGUGUGUUGGGCCCCCGCCCCCCGGCUUCGGGGGGCGGGCCCGAAAGGCAGCGGCGACACCGCGUCCGGUCCUCGAGCGUAUGGGGCUUCGUCACCCGCUCGGUAGGCCCGGCCGGCGCCCGCCGGCGACCCCAAUCAAUCUUUCCAGGUUGACCUCGGAUCAGGUAGGGAUACCCGCUGAACUUAAGCAUAUCAAUAAGCGGAGGA
rnacentral:misc_RNA from 1 species